ACGGUAAGGCCCCUUCGGGGGUACACGAGUGGCGAACGGGUGAGUAACACGUGGGUAAUCUGCCCUGCACUUCGGGAUAAGCCUGGGAAACUGGGUCUAAUACCGGAUAUGAGCUCCUGCCGCAUGGUGGGGGUUGGAAAGUUUUUCGGUGCAGGAUGAGCCCGCGGCCUAUCAGCUUGUUGGUGGGGUAAUGGCCUACCAAGGCGACGACGGGUAGCCGGCCUGAGAGGGUGAUCGGCCACACUGGGACUGAGACACGGCCCAGACUCCUACGGGAGGCAGCAGUGGGGAAUAUUGCACAAUGGGCGGAAGCCUGAUGCAGCGACGCCGCGUGGGGGAUGACGGUCUUCGGAUUGUAAACCCCUUUCAGUAGGGACGAAGCGCAAGUGACGGUACCUGCAGAAGAAGCACCGGCCAACUACGUGCCAGCAGCCGCGGUAAUACGUAGGGUGCGAGCGUUGUCCGGAAUUACUGGGCGUAAAGAGCUCGUAGGCGGUUUGUCGCGUCGUCUGUGAAAUCCUCCAGCUUAACUGGGGGCGUGCAGGCGAUACGGGCAGACUUGAGUACUACAGGGGAGACUGGAAUUCCUGGUGUAGCGGUGAAAUGCGCAGAUAUCAGGAGGAACACCGGUGGCGAAGGCGGGUCUCUGGGUAGUAACUGACGCUGAGGAGCGAAAGCAUGGGUAGCGAACAGGAUUAGAUACCCUGGUAGUCCAUGCCGUAAACGGUGGGCGCUAGGUGUGGGGGUCUUCCACGACUUCCGUGCCGCAG
rnacentral:rRNA from 1 species